UUCUCUAAAAUUUAUUUACAAUUAAUAAGUUAAAAAGCAAAGUACAAGCAGAUUAUAAAUCUCAACCAUAAGUACAUCAAACUGUCCAGGGAAACACUUUGAGUCCAUUACAAACAAUUGUUUUCUAAAGCACUUAAGACAUAAUAGUCUAUCAAAAAAUAUUUUAAACACACCAAUAAAGUAAAUAUUAGGCAUAUGCGUCCAUUAAAAACCAUUAGAGUCCUGUCGCAAUCCUUAAAACAAUGAAAAACUUUUGAGUUCAAAAUUGCUCAGAUAUUUUGUAUUCAAAUAUUUUUAAAAUUUACUGAAGAGUUUUCUAAAAAAUAGUACUAUCAUUUGCACACAGCAGAUCAAUAGGUGUCAGUCACCAGCUUAAGUUACACUUGUCAAUAUUCAAACUUGAAUAAAAUAAAUACACAUCACAACAACGACACUUUGCACUAUCAACAAUGAAGCUUGCCCUCAACAAUUACGACAUUACUGGUUUUAGUAACAUAAAAAUACAUUGCUGGUUGACAGGAAGGAUAAAAAUGACAUCAGGAAUCUCAAAAAGUUAUGUGAGGUGCCAGUCACCACAUUUAGGCACUCGGGAAUUAAAAAUCAAAUAAAAGCAUAGCAAGGUGAUGAAUUUCCUCCUGGCUUCCCCCUCUACUUGUGCCAUAUAAGAUAAAAGAGAAGGCAAGAGAAUGAACGAAGAUCAUGAGAUUUCUUUCAAAAACUAUACACAAGCUAAGCUACAGACUUCACUUUAGAGGACAGUAAGUGGAUGCCUCAUCAUAAAGGCCACUAUGCCAAGUUUCUUUUCACAUUCUGCGACAAAGUACCCAUGAAAUACUUUCACUUUCCUAUUAGUAUACCAGUCAACUACAUUAGAUGUUGCUUCACAUUUUAAAAGUUGUAACAUAGGUUUUAACCAAAGGAAAGGGCAAAAAUAAAGAUUUUUUACAUCUUAUUUCACAGACUAGAAAUGGCAUAAUUUUUUAAUAGCCCAAAUGAAUACCAUUAUUGAAUUCAAGAUGGAUAAUCAGAUCCAAAAUGGAAUCAGAUAGCCCAAGUAAUCCAAAGAAGCAUUUAUGUGAGUUCAAGUAUGCUAAAGUAACAAGGCAUAGGAGAGAAAAAUGUCAAGAAUCUCCGUUAAAAUAAAUGAAUGGUGUCAUUGGUUAUGUUUCACUUGUGUGCUGAGCAGUUAUCCUCCCAGUUAAGCCAAAUUUCAAAAUCCUCUGGAAAACUAUCUAGAUAAGCUAUAUGUCGAAAUUGCAUUCUAAUAUGGCCAUUGGGUUUAUUUUUAAUUAUUAUAAAACUAUAUACAAUAGUGAAGUUGUACAAAUACAUUUUUCCCAGGUGCUAGUUAGCUAUAAAAGUUAACAAUGUAUUUUUAGGAAGAAAACCCUAUGCAUCUGAAAUACAAUUGGCAAUGGAAGCUAAUAACCAAAAGAAUAGUCUAAGCUUCCUAUCACAAAUAUAAUUUAACACUCUCCAUCUUCUAAGGAAUUAUUCAUUUUUAUUUACUCAUGUGACAGUGUUUGUACAAUGCAUUAUCAUUGAGUAGUGAAUAAAAGACUGAGGCUUACUAGAAAACUGGCAUCAAGUUAUAUAUGUGUGUGUAUAUAUAUAUAUAAUUUUUUAAGAAAACAAGAACACUGAAAUUAAAGUCACAACACUCCUAUAUGGACUACUAAACUUGAAAUACUCAUUUCAGAAAGCUAUGCCAUUUGAAUUCUAGGAACACAAGAGUCAAAAUUGCAACUCUCAUUAUUUUCCUAAGAAGCUGCCAAGCAGAGAUAAGUUUUAGUAUUAAACAUUUCACAUGUCAAGUUCCAGCCCAGUAUGGAUCGUUUCAUGGCAGAAUACUUAAAUUUGAAAUAAUAGUGGUACAAAAACACUCCUUGACCCUUUGGGUAUUGCAGUAAAAGCUGGCUGUGGCACUGCUGGCUAAAAAACUAUUAAGUUUUCCUGCCACAAAUGACCAAAGGCACUUGGAUAAUCAAGAAUUUCACACUGGGCCAUAUGGUAUAAACACUAUAAAAGCAUAAAGAAGGGUCAGUAUUCUGUGUGGCUCGCCUGUUUGAUUCCUGCGGUCUUCAGCUGUCAAAGACCUAGAACUGCAAACAUAUAAUGAGUGGCAAGAAGGUUAAAAAAAAGUUGGGACAAAAAAGUCAACUAAAAGUCAACUAAUUUUCAUUAUGUUUGUAAGACUGAUGAGUAUUAAUCUAGACAUUUCUUGUUAUCCAACAACAAAAACAAAAAGGAAAUAGAUUUCGCCCAAAGUAACCUCAACCAGUUAUUUGAUACCAAGAAAUGCCUCCACCCCUCUUGAUCAUUAAUAGCUCUAAGAAUUCUAAUGGGUAUUCUGUUUAUCAUUUUAGUCAUAAUGUUUACACACAUGCAUCUCUCCUAUGCAACUCGUAUUUUAAAAUACAUUAUCCUUGUAAAAUACAAGUAUUGUAAAAUCCUUGUAUUUUACAAGGAUAAUGUAUUUUAAAAUACUUUAAUGCAUAAUAUUCCUGGAUUUGUAUGUUAGACCAGGACAGGGGGCCAAAUCAUCUCUAGUCGGAUUCCAGUGACUCCUGUAACCAAAACCAGUUCUUCACAAUUUAUUCAUUUUUUUAAUCACACGCCAUAUGGUUUCAAUGCAUUUUUUUAUUCAAUUCAAAAGAAUUUAACAAGUUAACUUUUCCUAAACAAAAGUUUUCAUGUGUAUUCUACCAUUUUUAGGAGCUCAGUAAAUAUAAACAUUAAGUUUCAAUAUAAAACCUUUAAAAACACCUUGAAAAUGUUUAAACAGUCGUAUUUUGCAUGUCUUUGUUUGUAAUCACUGAGCCCAUACAAAUCCUCGCACUACUAACAGUCACAAGCUUGAACCUCUUAAAAAAUAUCCUCGAUCAAAGCUUUGGAAUCCAGUAAAAAUUAGGAAACGAGUGGGCUUCAGAAUACCCUGAGCACAAACUAGUGCAACACCACAUGUUCGAACUUCUGUCCGGAAAGAGGGGUGGCAGUGAAACAGAAAAAGGGGGAGAUAAAGAGCAAAGUAAAUUCUGGCUUUAUUACACAAGCACGAAACCAAAUUCCUUUGGAAAAAUAAUGUCUUCGGAGGACUUCCAGACCAGUGAGGUAGAGUCCAACAGGGAGAAAACGGAUCUGCCCCUAAGGUCCUGGAGACGUCUCAAUCUGGGGUCAGGAAGAAAGGGACCUCCCCUGCGGAUCCAGCUGUCCCCUCCCUCCGCAGGCCGGGUGCGGGAGGCAGCAGAGGGCACACCUGCCCCGGCGUCCAAGACGACGGCGCCGCGACCCGGGACAGGGACAACCAUCCGGUGAC
ensembl:lncRNA